rfam:Triticum aestivum genome assembly, contig: Triticum_aestivum_CS42_TGACv1_scaffold_262308_3DL
AAAAUACUCCCUCCGUCCGGAAAUACUUGUCAUCAAAAUAAAUAAAAGGGGAUGUAUCUAGAUGUAUUUUAGUUCUAGAUACACUUUUUUUUUACCAUUUUGAUGACAAGUUUUUUCGGACGGAGGGAGUAGAUC